GCAGGAAGACUGUUCAGUAGCGUUUCCUUACUGACCCCAAUGCAUCUGGGACAGCCAGCUGCUCUCCAUUAUCUACCGCUCUUUUUUUUUUUUUUUAAGUUUUAAUUAUUUGAAAAGCUGAGUGAGACAGAAGAGAGAGAGGUGUCUGCCAUCUGUUAGUUUACUCCCCAGAGGCCUGCAACAAUUGGGACUGGGCCAGGCUGAAGUUGGGAGCCAGGAACUCCAUCCAGGUCUCCCACAUGGGUGGCAGGGAUUCAGGCACCUGGGCCAUCAUCUGUUGCUUCUCAAGCGUGUCAGCAGGGAGCUGGAUUGGAAGUGGAGCAGCUGAGACUUGAGCCCACAUUCUAAAAUGGGAUGUGGGUGUCACAAGUGGUGGCUUAAGCUGCUGCGCCACCAUGCCCACCAGCCUGCCACUCUGCCACGUAGCUGUGUGUGGCUAUGCUAGUUUACCAAGAGAAAAAGCACUUAGAUUUGCACCAUUUGCAUUUUCUGUGGUGUGAACACCCCCAUUGUGGCCAACUUCAGGCUAUGGAAACACAGUUGUGCAAGUGCUCGGUGAACAGCCUCAUUGGCAUCCUGAGCAGACCCCAGCACAGCUCUUCCCCAGGAGGCGUCUCUCUGACCACUGCUCUGAAUGCUAUGCCAGCCCUGGCUGGACUCUUUGGUCUGCCCCUUCCCUUCUUUUCAGUUAUCUGGGAAUCCCAGCCAAAGGGCAUGAUCGAAGAUCCUCCACUAAAUGGUUGCCUCUGGGCCUUAUCUCUCACCCCUUCUCCACUGCAUCUGUCUCUUUGCUUCACACCUUUUGUGCCAGCUUUCCUAUUUGCCUGGGAUGUGCUUUCCACACUUGCAAGGCUUACUCUCUUAUCUUUUCAAAACUUUGCUCAAUUUCCACUUACUCCUGGGGCAAUCCCUAACUGCUCAAAAUACUCCGCACCCAGCUGUACUCCCAAUCCACCUCCUCCAUAGCAUUUUUGUCCUAAUGUAGCUUAUCACUUUUAUGUCACUGUCUAUUAUCCCCAACCCCAUAUUAGAAUAGAAACAUCAUCAUUUGUCUGCUGUGCUCACUGAUGUCUCCCAAGGGCUUAGAAUAGUGCCUGGUUUAUCAGAGGUGCUCAAGAAUUAUUUUGAAUUAUUAAGGAAGAUCCUACUAUUCUUCUAUGACUAUUCCAUUUGGCUUACCUUUAAUGCUCUGCAUGAUUGGUCUAUGCAGCCUCCAUGAUGGCCAAUCACAUCUUCUAUUUGAUCUGCCUGUAGAAUACACAGUACUGGCUUGUGGGUGGGCCUUUGCGUGUUCUGUUAUUCCUGUCUGGAAUAUUCCCCCACUCCACAUUGGAGCCCUAACUCCUCCUUAGGAUUCAGAUUCAGGCCUGACUUUAACAUUAAUCAAUCCAGGAAGCCUUCGAUAACCAUUCUAGAUUAGAUAAGACAUGCCUAUUCUUAGCUUCUAGAGUACAGCUCGCUCCAUUGUUAGUGCUUCCUAAAAUUUUCUCUCUGUUGGAGCUGACAUUGUGGUUUAGUGAAUUAAACCACCACUUGUGAUGCCAGCAUCUUGUAUCAGAGUGCUGGUUUGAGUCCUGGCUGCUCCACUUCCAAUCCAGUUCCCUGCUAAAGCACUUGGAGAAGUAGCAGAAGAUGGCCCAAAUAUUUGGGCCCCUGCGACCCAUGUGGACAACCUGAAUGGAGUUCCAGACUCCUGGCUUCAGCUUGGGCUGUUCUGACCAUUUGGGGAGUGAACCACAUAUGGAUCUCUUUCUCUCUUUUUUUUCUCUCUCACUCUGUUGCUUUGCCUUUCAACAUCUGUUUUUUUUUUGACAGGCAGAGUGGAUAGAGAGAGAGAGAGAGAGAGAGAGAGAAAGGGCUUCCUUUGCCAUUGAUUCACCCUCCAAUGGCUGCCGCGGCCAGCACACCACGCUGAUCCGAAGGCAGGAGCCAGGUGCUUCUCCUGGUCUCCCAUGGGCUGCAGGGCCCAAGCACUGAGCCAUCCUCCACUGCACUCCUGGGCCACAGCAGAGAGCUGGCCUGGAAGAGGGGCAACCGGGACAGAAUCUGGCACCCCGACCGGGACAAGAACCUGGUGUGCCGGCGCCGCAAGGCGGAGGAUUAGCCUAGUGAGCCGCGGCGCCGGUGCCUUUCAACAUCUUAAAAACUUUUUUUCUAUCUUUCAUGGCUAUUAUGUACCCCAUUAUAUUCUCAACAUACAGCUUGGUGCCUUACUCAUGGGUCCAGCUUAGCAAAUAGUAAUUAAAUACAUGAGUCAAUCACUUGGUGCUUAAGUAACUUAUCCUCCACAGAUGCUUAAGUGUAGCAGUGGAGCCAGAACUUGAAUUGAGAUCUCCAUUCUUCAGCUAUUCUCAUUUUGUUAAGCUGUCUCUUGAACAUCUGUAUUAUCCCAUGCUGCCAUCUCUUCUGGAAUCUGGUUACUGCCUUGUGAAUAUUUGAGAGUAUCCCUUUCCUUUAUUGACCCUACUACCAACCACAUCCUUUCUUGUACAUAGGAUUUCCUUCUUCUAAAUUGGCUCUAAUUUCCAUCUUUUGGAUUUGCAUUAUCAUUUUUGCUUACUCAAAUACAUUCCCAGCCCUUGGGGCAAAAAGGAUCUGGGGAUUGAGCUGCUGCGUCUGGUAUCAUAUGAGUCCCACCUGUGUGGAAUCAUGGCCAAAGCAGCACACCAGCUGGCCUUCUCCUGGAUUUUCUUCUUCUCCAGGUGGAAGUAGGAGAUUUGGUGUAUUGGGAGAGAUUUGAAAAAAUAUGAAAGGCAGUCCUGUAGCUUGUAGGGGACAAAGAAGCUUCACUCACUGCAGGCAGCUUUUCAGAGCACUAACUUGAUAUUUCUUGAAUGCCUUAUUUUCUCUAACUCUCUUCUACUUCUCAUAUCCCUAAGAACUCAGUCCUUGUGCUUCUAUUCUGCCCACCAUCAGUGGUCUCCUGCCUCAUUAAUAGAGCAAUGCCCCUUAUUCCCAAGGAAUCUCUCUCCCCACACCCAUUCCUCAUCCUUCCUGUUGGAUGUUCAGGAAGCAGUCUCACUAUAAACUCUCAACUACAUGUGAUCACUGAAAAUAUCAUUGAUAUUGAGAUAUGCUUGGGCAUUAUUUGGAUAACCUUAUGAUUUCUUUUGAAUGUCCAUAUCAUAUACUGAAAUCUUACUAUACAUGACUUUGUUAACUUCACGUCUUUGCAUAAGUAAGAUGUUUGAGUUAUUACAAAUUCACUAUAAAUGGCAUUUUCAGUAGGUAAAUAAUAUUUUGUCAUGCAUUAUGAAUUAUUAUAAUUUGGUGUAUUUUCCUAUUAUAGGAUUUUUAGAUCAUUUCCAGUGUUUUGUUAUUUCAAAUAAUGUUACAAAGAGCACCUUUGUGUGUGGGCAUAUAUAUUAUAUGUGUAUGUGUGUGUUUGUGUAUACAGUUUUUCUUUAGAUGUGGGAACCCAAACUUAAUCUAAUCUCACUGAGGUGUGUUCAAGAAUAUCCUUUUUGUUCUUACACAAAAGACAGUGUUUUUACUACUCAUACUGAAUAAUAAUCCUAGAGAUUUGCUUUUCCAUUUUGGUGCAAACAAAGCUUCCUUACUCUUUUUAUUUAUUUACUUUAAACUUUAUUUGAAAGGCAGAGAAAACUGGUUCAUUCCCCAAAUGUCCUCAAUGCCUGGCACCAGCCUGGGGCAGAGCUGGGAGCCAAGAACUCAAUCCAGGCCUCCUACAUGGGUGCCAUAAACCCAACUACUUGGACCAUAACUACUGCCUCUAGCUGGAGUUAGAAGCCAAAACAAGAAAUGAUCUUGCUUGAUAACCAUGUGGUUGUAGGAGCCUGGAAUUAAGUCAUCAGCAUAUAUCACAGAGAUAAGAUUUUUAGCUUGACUUAAUCCUGGCGCUUGAAUAGUCUUGAAAUACUGCAAAAUGUGGAUGAAAAAAAAGUUAUUUCUCUCACCAUUAAAAAAACAACUAGAAGAUGGAAUUUUGGAUAUUUUCUCUAUAAAGAAAUGUUAAGUGCUUAAGAGGGUAAGUAUAUUUACCCCAGUUUUGGGGAAUCACAUAGUAAUGCUUAAAACACACCCAGUGAUUGAUGUGUGCCAUCUGUUUUCCUUCAUGAAGGCCUCAGUCCCAGCGAUCAGGUAGGAACCUUCUCUUUCUAUUCAUGUUUCCUCUGAUAGAUUGCAUCUGUGACAUCUGAUAUCUUGUUAACCAGAUGCUCUAAAAGAGCAAAAUCAUUGAAAAGAAGGAUAUUUGCUGCUGCUGCUGCACCUGCCAAAUUCUGCUGGUAGCUAAGGGAUGAUGUAUUUGUGAGGGGUUUUUCCUCAUUUUUCUGAAUCAUCAAGUUUGAGCCAUAGUAUUUCAAUUUUUGUAAAUUAUGCUCUCACCUUUACUUCCUCUACCUAAUGAUCACAGAAAGAGGGCCAAGUUGGACAUUUCAUUUUUCAGAAUCUGAAUUGUUCUUCAGAGUUAUUUUGUUUCUUCAGUUUUUUCAAACUUAACCUGAUAUCUAAAAUCUAUUGAGCAUUUAUAUAAGAAUGUCAUAAGAACAUUUUAUUAUAGAAAUAACGAUGCAAGAAAUGAUAUUGGGUAAUAUUAGAGGAAAAAUGAUAUAAUCUGCAAUUAGAAAAAUCAAGUUUUGGACCCACAUUCAAAAGAAUUAUAGAAAAUCCUCUGUUUGAUUUAAGGGAGAGAGGAGAAAGAGAAAGAAGCAGAUACAGAUAGAUCUGUUGCCUGCUAGUUCACUUUCCAAAUGGUCACAAUGGCCAGAGCUGGUCUAAAAUUGAGAACUCAAUCCAAGUAUCCCCAUCUCCAAUGUGGGUGUGUCGCUCCCCCUCUUCAUGGAGGAACGACACUAAACCCUGCCUAGGUUUCCUAUCCAAGUCACGGCACCAUUAUGUCGUUCCCCCUCUUCGUGGAGGAACGACACAGGACCCUGCGUUGUUCUUUUGUCUGCUCGGCCCUUCCCGGGUUUGCUGCUGGUUCUUCCCGGGUUGGCUACCGUCCCUCCACCUCCGUGGAGGGGCUGGCCCCCUGCCACUUUCCCCACUUCUGCAGGGGAGCGGCACACCGCCGUCCGGCUCUCUCAGGGGCUGCUCAGGUGUUCCUUCAGAUAGAUGUUCCUGGUGCAUGUUGUCUCUCUCCUCCUUUAUAGUCCUCUUCCACCAAUCCCAACUCUGCUACCUACACGCCGAGUACGCUGCUCUCCUCCAAUCAGGAGCAGGUCCUGCUGUUUAUUGGUUGAACUGGAGGCAGCUGUGUAGAAGCUGUUUCCUCCUUUCCCAGCGCCAUAUUGUGGGAGAGCAGAUGCAUAGAAUAAGUCUUAAUUCCAGUAACUUAGUCUAGUCCGAGUUGCUCCCAGUUGCUCCCCACAUGGGUGGCAGGGACCCAAGUAUUUGGGCCACCACUAGGAUCUCCAUUACCAGGAAGAUGGGAUCAAGAACUGGAGCUAGUACUCAAAUACAGCCAUUCUGAUGUGGGAAGUGGGCAUCUUAGUGUCUCAACUGUUAGGCCAAACACCCAUCUCCCCAAGAAGUUCUUGAUUGCCAGGAUGAAAAAUAUAGAAAGAAAAUAUCUCUAAUGAAAAUGAACCACAAUUUCUGAAGUAUGCCCACUUAAGGAGACAAGGCAUUGUAUAGGGCAAGUAGCUUCUUCCCUUUAGUCCAUAAGCCACUGGACACUGCAUGAGACUUCCUGUAACUAAAACCUCAAAGCCAGCCCCGAGCAGAAAGAUAUACAAUUAGAAAAUUAAAAGUGAGCCACUCUGUAACUUCCUCUGUAAUUUCUAACUAAGAAUCACAACAUGAGUGCAUAUUAUUGUACAGUCAGGGCCAAUCAAGGUUAAAAAAUUAUUACCCCAGCUGAGUAUUUUCAGAUAAGUAAUCCUAGCUAAGACUCACAAUGAAAUGUAAGUACAGGUUGAAUAUCCCUUAUCCAAAGUGCUUGAGAGAGAAAGUAUUUCAGAUUUCAGAAUUUGAGAUAUUUGAAUAGUCAUUAUUGGUCCACACAUCUGAAAUCAGAAAUACCGACAUGAUGCACAAACACUUUGGACUUUGGAGCACGCUGGAUUUUGGGUUUUGGAAUUAGAGACGCCCAGCUUUUAUUAUCAUCUGCCAUUGAAUCAUCCUACUAUUCUUCGUGUUGGUCCUCAGAUAAGUAGAAUUGAUUUUUAUUUUAAUUUAUUUUGAUUGCUAUAACUCAAUACCAUAAAAGGAUGGAUGAUUGGAGUAGACAACAGAAAUUUAUUUCUCACAGUUUGGAGGCUGGCAAGUUAAAGAUUAAGGGUCCAACAGAUUCGGAGUCUGGUGAGGGCUCACUUGCUCAUUCAUGAAGGUUGUGUCCUUGUGGUAGAAAGAGCAACUGAGUUCCAUCAUUCUCUACCCCCAUUCUAUUUACCUAAUCACCUCUUUUGGGACAGAAUUAUCUGCCAAAGGCUCCACCUCCAAAUAGCAUCACCUUAGGAGUUAGGAUUUCAGUAUAUGAAUUCCAGCAGUCACAGACAUUAUCUGUUAACUCCCAUAAAAAUCAGAAAAGGGGCUAAAGUGUUGUGGCACAGUGGGUUAAGCCACUGCCUGGGAUGCCUGCAUCCUGUAUCUGAGUGCCUGGGUUAAAAUCUCAUGUCCGCUGUUAAUCCAGCUUCCUGCCAGUGUGCACCCUGGAAGGCAGCAGGUGAUACUGCCCAUGUGGGAGACCCAGUAGAGUUCUGGGCCCCUGGCUUUGGCCUGGUGCAGCUGCAGCCAUAGCUGGUGUCUGGGGAGUAAUUUGACACAUGGAAAACUUUCUCUUUCUCUUUCUGUCUCUCUGCCUUUCAAAUAAAUAAAAGUAAACUUUUAAAAAAUAUUUUAUUUAUUUGAGAGCCAUAAUUACAGAGAGAGAGAGAGAGAGAAAGUGUGUGUGUGUGUGUGUGUGUGUAUGUGUGAGAGAGAGAAAGAGAGAGAGAGAGAGAGAGAGAGAGAGAGAGAGAGAUCUUCCAUUUACUGGUUCACUCCCCAAAUUGUAGCAUUGUAGCAACAGCCAGUGUAGCAGGAUUCAUGCACCCAGACAUGACAUCAAGGCCUCUUAACAGGAAGUAGUCUUUUAUUAGGCUGGCAUAAGGCCCAGGUGAAAUUUCUGAUCCAAAAUCCUGAGACCUGAAUGAAGAAGGGUUUUCCCUUAUAAGGCUUUAGCCUCUUUGUCUCCCUUAUAUAGUUACCUGCAUACAUGUGAUUGGAAAUUCUAAUAUUACAUGGUGGCCACAGGAUUGAUACAAUACUGUGCAUGUGAAUAUAGUUACUAAAGGCUUUUGUUUGUUUGUUUUUGUAAGCUGCCUGUCAAGGGUUAACAUCAUUGCUCUGUACUAACAAGCAGAUCCUGCAAUGGUUACAUAUAAGCAGACAGGGACUACAGUUGAUUCAUUCACAGGCAAGCAGAUAGCAACCACGUUUCAUUCCCAGGACAGAUGCCUCCGUUUUUCUUCUAGCCUUGGGAAGGCCUCUACAACUUUAAUCAUCUCAGAAACAAGUUUAAUUAAAAAACAUAGGCCUCUGCUACAGCAGAGUUGGGCUGAUCUGAAGCUAGGAGCCAGGGGCUUCAUCCAGAUCUCCCACAUGGGUGCAGGGGACCACGGACUUGGACCAUCCUCUGCUGCUUUCCCAGGCACACUAGCAGAGAGCUGUAUCAGAAGAGGAGAAGCCAGGACAUGAACUGGCACCUAUAUGAAUGCUGGCGCUGCAGGUGGAGGCUUAGCCUACUAUGCCACAGUUUUGGCCCAGGAAGUAAACAUUUUUAAAAAUCAGAAGAACACAAUCUAGUAAAUGCAAACCAUUAGGAAUUUUUUUCAAUAAAUAGUAAAGUGGAUGCAUCACAAGGAGUAUGCUAGCUGAGAUUUUACAACUUUGAAAUAUGUGAAUGGGGAAACUUUUCUCAUUAGUGCAAAUGAGAAUGGUCCUUUUAGAAUUUAUUAAAAAUAGACUCCAUUAAACUUGGAAGAAAUCAAAUUACAAACAAUGGUUCUAAGGCAAUUGAUUUUAACUUAGUUUUAUUUUACAUGUGUAACAGUACAAAACAACUGGUGAUUGGAAUUUCAAGCUUGUAUAGGUUUUUUUAAAUUUUAGAACAUCUACAAUUUCUAAUUCCGCUUCUAUGAUCAUAUUUUGAGAUGAGCAUUGCAUUUAUCAAAUUUCAACUGACACAUAUUUUAAAUCUGUUUUUCAAGAAUACAAAUAUACACAUGUAUUCCAGUAUAUGAAACUUGCGCACACUGGGUGAGAGAAGACCCAGUUUUGACAAAGUUUAAAAGAGAAAACCCAGGUAAUUGCACCUUCAGUCUGAUGGAGUUAGCACAUAAGACCAACUUUCCUACAGAUCACAACUAAAAAUAACUACCUGAAUUCUCUGGGGGGUGAACAAAGGCAAAGUGAUUUUGCAGGGUUGUCAAAAUUUAGAAGAAGAUCUAGGCACCAGGUGAGUUUUCCAUCUAUGUGCUUUAGCUUCAGCACAUUGUGUGGGCUGGGGAAGCAGAGCUUCUCUGGAAAGCUCUUGUUCCAGCCCUGAGGAGCCAGAGCACAGAGCCUGCUGGAAGGUGGUGGCGCUGGGGUGGCAGCAGGGGUGAGGCAGGGGCAUGGUUGUUAUUCCUAGAAAGAACAAAGCUGGAAAGGGCAGCUCCAGCUGACUCCUGAACCCCAGCCAUGCAAAGGGCAGAUCCAAAGCAGCUGGCAGCUACCAGCGAGCACCAAGUUGAAAUUUAAUCUCCCACCCACCUAACUUGAGGCAGACUGUGCCUAAGUUAGACAAGACAUUAACGUUCUUUGGAGGAACUUGACAGAAUCCAGAGAUUCUAAAAGAAUCACAGUGUCCAGAAUAUGGACAGAACCUGGAAUUACCCAACAAAUAAAGAAUGAGGAAAACAUGGCCCUUUUUCAAAGGGAAAGGCCAACCCCAAACCACUCAGCUGUUGGAAUGUAUCAGGGGAGGACUUACGACAGCAAUUAUAAAUUUGCUCAGUGAGAUUAAGAAAAAUAAAAAGGAAAUAUCAAAAGAGAAAAUAUUAAACAUAGGGUUGCACAGAAAAUACUAUAACUUUAAAAUAUCUGAAAAAUGAACAGAAUAGGUUUAGUAACAUAAUGAAAAUGACAGGAAAACGUCCAACUUGAAGAUAGGCCAAUAGAAAGAAUCCACUUUGAAGCAAAGGUGGAAGGAAAUGAAUGGACAGAGUGUUAAGGACUCAUCAAUCAAAAGGUAUACAAUAUGUGUGAUUGGAAUUCUAGAAGAAAAGGAGAGGAAGACAUUGACAUUGAAAUGAAGAACAAAUUCUAGAAAUCGAAAACUGCCAUUUAUUAUUGGUUGAGAUAAAAUAAAUGUGUUUCCACUGAAUUAAGGGCCUGUGUUUUCUAAUGGCAGUGCAGACGUUUUGAGGCAUGGGAAAUGUUGUACUGGAACAAAAUUACAUUUUUCCUUCUUGUAUUUAUGAAAUUUCUUGCAUUUAUCUUCUAAUAAAAAGGAUUCUGAGGCUGACAUUGUGGUGCAGUGUGAUGAGCUGCUGCUUAGGAUGCUGGCACCCCCUAUUGGAGUGCCUGCCACUCUGCUUCUGAUCUAGCUCUCAGGAAGGCAGCAGAGGAUGCCUCAAGUACUUAGGCCCCUGUCACCCCUGUAGGAGACCUGGGUGGAGUUCUGGCUACUUUGGGUAUUUGGGGAGUGACUCAGCUAAUGGUUCAGUUGUAUAUGUAUGUCGCUCUGCUUUUCAAAUAUACAAAUUUGCUCCUUUUCAAUGUAAUCAUUUCCUAUUUUAAUGUUUGAGGCAGUUAGAUUAGGUAGAGGUUAUGUUGCCAAUGCCCAGCAAGCUAGAGAAAUUGUUCCUUUCUCUGUCUCAUAGAUAAUAAAGACGGUAAGUCAUGCAUUAAGGAAAAAAGUGGGAGAGACCAUUUUGUUCUUUGAUUAGUGUGACAUCUGUUGGCCAAUUUAAGGUUUUGCUGCUUUUUAAAAUUUCUUGGUUAAGUUAGUUAAAUCCUCUUUUUGUCUCUAGUCAUACAUAAAAUCAUAAGUAUGUAUGCAUGAUUGCAUGUUCUCACAAUUCUGGUGGCUUUGACUAUGGGGAAAGCAGUCUUGUGAUCUCAGACCAAUGCAGUGUGAGGUGCCUCAUUUCUACACCCACCUGGGGUUGAACAGAGCUGCACAUCCUUCAUGCAAUGCCUUCCUCCCUUUCCUGGACAAAAUCUGAUUUAAUUUUUUCUAAUUAAUUUCCAUGUUUUAUCAGCAGUUUUAUCAGCAGUGUUUCUGGAGUUAGGUGUUAGCACAUCGAAGUGGGGAAAUGGCCAGGAUAUGCAGGAGAUGACUCCUCCACUGCAGGUUGAUUGUUCAGAUUGAAAAGUGCUUACAAAGGAAAGUUAAUCACACUGUAGCUCCCUCAAAUCUGCAGAUUUGUUUACACAGUGGUAAGCUAGAUUUUUCUUUAAUAGUUUUUAAAGUUACUUUCCAAUUAGAAAUAACAAAUGAGAAGAUAACUAGGACAUACUAUUUCUCCUUCCAUACCCCAGAGAAUACUUUUUUUUUUUUAAGUUUCUGUUUUUCAUCUUCUGGUUUCUAUUACAAUUUUACAUAACAUUAUUUCUCCAUUUAUUCAUUUUUGACACUGUCACUGACUCUCUGAUUUGGAUACUGACAGUCUAGUCCACUUGUAUUAUAACUUUCUGCCCUUUCCCAAUGUUUAGGCAGUUUCACAUUGUUGGAAUUUUUAAACUUUAAAUUAUCUUUACAUUUCUCUUUCUGUAUCCUCAUUUAACAGAAUCUCUUCAAGUUUCACUUAAUUUUUUAAAGAUUUUAUUUAUUUAUUUGAGAGGCAGAACUACAGACAGAGAGAGGGAGAGACAGAAAGGUCUUCCAUUCACUGGUUCACUCCCCAAAUGGCUUCAAUGGCCAGAGCUGGGCUGAUCCAAAGCCAGGAGCCAGGAGCUUCUUCCAGGUCUCCCAUGUGGAUGCAGGGGUCCAAGCACCAUCUUCGACUGCUUUCCCAGGCCACAGCAGAGAGCUGGAUCGGAAGAGGAACAGCUGGGACACGAACUGGUGCCCAUACGGGAUGCUGGCGCUGCAGGCAGAGGCUCAACCCACUACGCUAUAGCACAGCCCCCACGUUUUGCCUAUAAAGGGCAUGAGUUCUCUUAUCUCUUUCCCUACCUCUCGUUUCUUCCGUCCUCAUUACGGCUUGUCCUGCAAGGCUGCACUGUUGAGGAGAGCAGGGGGACAGUGUCCUUCUCACAAGAAGCACUGGAGACAAGUUUCCAAGGAUGUGUCUGUCUUUAUUCACAGCCACCUAUACUUUUAAAGGGCAGCCACUUAUACUUUUAAAGGCAACACCAAUACUAUAGGACAGAACCGACACUGGCGCCAAUAUGCCUUUCCAAUUAGCUUGAAGAUCACAUAGCUAGGUUAGUUUCCAGUUGGUCCUAAUGGGCCUGGGUCACAUCCGGGAGCCGUUUACCUGAUUGGCAAUUUCAGGGACCUUUAACAGGGAGUGGGGUGGGGAAAAGUGCCUGCCAGCAGUCAGGUUGUGGGGUCCUUCCCGGGACACAUGUGUGCCAUGUCCUCUCAACCUCCCACUAGGUACAGGAUCACCCAUACCUCGUAUCAAGGACAACCUUGACUUCACACCAUCAAGAUGACUAAUGUUUAUAUUCUCUCUUGAAACCAUGAAUUGCUGAUGACAGGAUGCCUAAAUGUUGAUAACCAACACAUAAAACUGAUGUUACAAGAGUAUGUACAUGCUGUUCAGUACUGGUAUGAGUAAUGUGUUAGAUUUUGUGUCCUAGAACUGUUAUACAUAUAUAAAAUGUAUCUAUACAUUUAUAUAUACAUAUUUAUAUAUUCAUAUAUGUAUAUCUGUAUUAUACAUAUAUGUAUAUUUGUAUCAUGUAUACAUGUAUACAUAUACUUAUAUAUGUAUAUAUAUACAUACAUUUAUAUAUACAUACAUAAAAUUUUGUAUAUAUAUAUAUAAUUUCCUGAGCCAUUCUAAGGAGUAUUCCUAGUAUCAAGGUCAAUUGGAAUAGUUUUUCUGAUGCUCUAUGUAUUACUUAAAUUCAUAUUACAUUAUAGUUUGUUUUUCAUUUGGUCACAGUUCACUUGUACAUUUAACAGCUUUCCCCCUGGAGUUUUGAUGGUGUCGUGUGUUGAUUUUAUAAGAUCUUCUUCCCCUCCACACCUGUGCCUAUGCUUUGCACUUUUUUUUUUUUUUUGACAGGCAGAGUGGACAGUGAGAGAGAGAGAGAAAGGUCUUCCUUUUGCCGUUGGUUCACCCUCCAAUGGCCGCCAUGGCCGGCGCACUCUGCUGAUCCGAUGGCAGGAACCAGGUGCUUAUCCUGGUCUCCCAUGGGGUGCAGAGCCCAAGUACUUGGGCCAUCCUCCAGUGCACUCCCUGGCCACAGCAGAGAGCUGGCCUGGAAGAGGGGCAAGUGGGACAGAAUCCGGCGCCCCGACCGGGACUGGUCGUGCCGGCGCCGCAAGGCAGAGGAUUAGCCUAGUGAGCCACGGCGCAGGCCUGCUUUGCACUUUUAAUUGCAGUGGCUUUCCCCUUGUCUGGAAACCCCUCUCUUGGAGUCUUUAGUCUGUCUUUUGCAGUCUGGACUGGUUACCUUGUAGGCAUGGUUUAUGCAAUUAUCCAGGCAUUUCCAUAAAUUUCCCUCCUGGGCUUCCUUUCUCUUCAGUUACUUCCUUAUUUUGCUUGUCUAUGUUCUUAACUUCUUGGGGAGAAAGUACAGAACAGCUAAAUUUUAUAGGAUCUGUUGUCAUGUUUCAAUAAGAAUUUAUGUUGCCUUCAAAAAAGUGCUAGUUUGAAUGAGUCUAGAAGUCUAGUUAGAGUUCUUCAUUUUCAGCUAGCAUCCCUGUGGCUGAGAAGAGUCUGAGCCACUCUGACCCUCAUUCCUUUCAGGUGGCUUGUUUUAUUAUCUCUGAAACCUUUUAGGAUUUUCUGUUCAUCAGUGACGUCUUGAAAUGUCACAGAAUGGACACUUCUUGGCAUCAGUGACUCAAUCUGUUUUUGUUUUGUUUUAGAAAACUUUCUUCUACAUGUUUAUUUGCUAACUUCUUUUAUGUUUUAUGUUCGCUCUUUUUCUGUCUCCCUUUACUUUGAUGUUGGACUUCAUGUUUUGUCUCCAAGUGUCUCUUACUUUUGCUUUCCUAUUUUCAGUCUCUGGCUGUCUCUUCUAGCCGUAAGCUCAUAUGCUUGUCAAUUUUAGUGCUUCAGAAAUUGUGUGUUCAUCUCUGAAAGUUGUGAUGUUCUUGUCUGGAUUGUUUCUGUUUCAGAGAUCCCUCUUCUACUUUGAUGCAAUACAUUAGGACCUCUCAAUAUGAGGUCCUAUUAUUUUUGUUUUGUUAUUUGGUUUAGCUCAGUUUCUUGUUAGUUGCUUGCUUUUAGGUUCUGUAUCUUAUUUUUGUUAUAAUUUUAUUUUCAUUUAAUUUGAAAGGCAGAGGGACACAUAGAGAGAUCUUCCAUUCACUGGCCUACUCCUCAUAUGCCUGCAAUAGCCAGGGGUGGGCCAUGCUGAAGCCAGGAGCCCAGAACUCAAUCUGGGUCUUCCACAUGGGUGGCAGGAACCCAGGUAUUUGAGUCAUUACCUGCUGCCUCCCAGAAGUGGAGCCCAGACUUGAACCCAGGCACUUUGAUAAGGAAUGCAGGAAUCCCAAACAGCAUCUCCACCACUGUGCCAAAUGACCCCUUAUCUCUAGCUUUGUUUUAUUCCAUAGUGAUUAGUUUUCCAGCUUAUUUUGGCCAGUCUCUUUGGCUUUCCAUUCAAUUUAAGAGAAAAGGAAAAGUAGGUGCAGGUUUUCUGUUAUUGACAUAGAAGAGUUUCUGGCUAUGUUUCUUUGCUGAGUAGGAAUUCUGUAGGAAAACUCCUGGUGGAGCAGGAUUCACUUUAGGGUCAGCUUUCAGACUGCUCCCCUGAGGGUCCCCUUAUAACACACUGUACAUUUUCCCUUCUAAGUGUCCAACACUUGCCUCUGUGAGUGCCAUCUGUUAGAGUUAUGCCUUCAUUGCCAUUUCGUAUUUUUACUUCAGCGCGAUCUCAGGAGCAAGGGGAGAUAAACAUGUAUUUCUGCCGUUCUGAUUCUCUCCAAGUUGGUUUUAGAAAAGUUACCAGCUCAGAUUCCAUUCUGAACUGUAGGAAAUUCUAGGUUAUUUCUGUUGUAAGGUUUUCUCUGUUUACUCGGUAUCUCAUGAGAUAGACUGAAGGCUCUCCAAGAGCUCCUGUUUGCAUUGUAUUUCAUUUAUUUCUUUGUCUCUGCCUUUCAAGUAAA